GCCAUGCCGCGUGUGUGAAGAAGGCCUUUUGGUUGUAAAGCACUUUAAGCAGUGAAGAAGACCUAACGGUUAAUACCCCGUUAGCGAUGACAUUAGCUGCAGAAUAAGCACCGGCUAACUCUGUGCCAGCAGCCGCGGUAAUACAGAGGGUGCAAGCGUUAAUCGGAAUUACUGGGCGUAAAGCGAGCGUAGGUGGCUUGAUAAGUCAGAUGUGAAAUCCCCCGGGCUUAACCUGGGAACUGCAUCUGAUAUUGUUGGGCUAGAGUAGGUGAGAGGGAGGUAGAAUUUCAGGUGUAGCGGUGAAAUGCGUAGAGAUCUGAAGGAAUACCGAUGGCGAAGGCAGCCUCCUGGCAUCAUACUGACACUGAGGUUCGAAAGCGUGGGUAGCAAACAGGAUUAGAUACCCUGGUAGUCCACGCCGUAAAACGAUGUCUACUAGUCGUUGGGGAACUUGAUUCCUUAGUGACGCAGCUAACGCAAUAAGUAGACCGCCUGGGGAGUACGGCCGCAAGGUUAAAACUCAAAUGAAUUGACGGGGGCCCGCACAAGCGGUGGAGCAUGUGGUUUAAUUCGAUGCAACGCGAAGAACCUUACCUGGUCUUGACAUAUCUAGAAUCCUGCAGAGAUGCGGGAGUGCCUUCGGGAAUUAGAAUACAGGUGCUGCAUGGCUGUCGUCAGCUCGUGUCGUGAGAUGUUGGGUUAAGUCCCGCAACGAGCGCAACCCUUUUCCUUAGUUACCAGCGGUUUGGCCGGGGACUCUAAGGAUACUGCCAGUGACAAACUGGAGGAAGGCGGGGACGACGUCAAGUCAUCAUGGCCCUUACGACCAGGGCUACACACGUGCUACAAUGGUAGGUACAGAGGGCAGCUACACAGCGAUGUGAUGCGAAUCUCAAAAAGCCUAUCGUAGUCCAGAUUGGAGUCUGCAACUCGACUCCAUGAAGUAGGAAUCGCUAGUAAUCGCGGAUCAGAAUGCCGCGGUGAAUACGUUCCCGGGCCUUGUACACACCGCCCGUCACACCAUGGGAGUUGAUUGCACCAGAAGUGGGUAGCCUAACUUUUAGAGGGCGCUCACCACGGUGUGGUUGAUGACUGGGGUGAAGUCGUAACAAGGUAA
rnacentral:rRNA from 1 species